rnacentral:snRNA from 1 species
UAUUGUGAGGGUGAUAUGGUUGCAAUAUCUGUCACCCCAGUGAUCACCAGGGUUUAUUUAGCUGAUAUGCCUGGCUAGGUAGGUGUCCCCUUCCUCCCUCACCACUUCAUGUGUGUCCCUCCAGAAGCUGGGUGCUUGGUUGGAGAAGAUGACCUUCCUCUAAUAGAGGAGGACCGGUCUUUGGUCAAGGGUAUACAAAUUGCUAUGCUCCCCUGAUAGAACCUCCAAACAAGCUCAAGGAAUCCUGUUUUAAAGAAUGUUAAUUUGUAAAGAUGAUAUAGGCAAACUUUGGUUUGAUGGCCUGAUUU